AAAAAAUAUUAAUUAAAAUCUCUCUAGAGUAUCAGUGCACAGAUCCAAAUUCUUUUUUUCUGAUUCUCAUUUAAGGCUUCAGUGUCUAACUUCAGCAUAGUAUACAUCAUAGUGUCCACAAGAUAUCUUUAUGACAGAAUAACAAUAUUCAAAAUAAUAAUAAUAAAAAGAAAAAUUGUAAACACAUUUGAUCAGUUCAGUGUGGCUACCUUUGGGAUAAUGUGAUAUGACAUCAAAUUAGUUACAUUAUAACUCCCCUGAUUGAUAAGACAGAAUGAUAAACAUAUCAGACUUGAUUUAAAGUGCCUACUAAGUUGCUUCUUUGAAUGUAAUUCUGAGAUUUGGGUGACUGCUAGUAAUUUGGAUUUUUUAGCCUUAGUGUCUUAUUUUUAUGUUUAAUUGUAUGUGAUACUGUGAUAUAGUUAGAAAUUCAUAUUUCAUUUUAUUUCCUCCUUCUUGGCACAGAGCUCCUAAAAUCUUUGGGAUUUCAUUAGUGAUGAAGUGAGAAGAGCAUCUUUUCUGUUCCUGGAACAUACUGAUGAUAAAAUAAAACCACUUCCCUUGUUAAAAAGAACAGAAUUACAGAUGGGCUUUACUAAUGACAAGUAGAGGGGACAAUAACCACAAAAACUCUAAAGCUUCAAAAUGAGUGAUAAAUGGCUGUGCUAUUAGCCAUACCCUAUGCCAACCAAACUGCAAGUAAAGAAUGGGAACACAAUAACAUCCACUAUCAGCAUGCUGUUUUGACUGGAUUGGACCAUCUGAAUAACUGACCAACUUGGUAAUUUUCCUGAAAAUUCAAAAUCAGUGAGUUUGACUGAAGAACACCUACCAUCACUUUUUAACGUACCUGUAAUAAACAAGUAAAUAUCUACUGUUUCCAUUACUUUACAAAGAGUCUUGAUUGGAAUCUUUAAAAGAAAAUUAACAAAAAUACAAAGCAUUUUAAUAGGUAAUUUGAUAUUGAAGUUUUUUCAAGAAAGCAGCUAAAGCAGAGGACCCAUGUUUUCUUGGCCACAACACUUUUACUAAUCUCUAUGUGAACUUAUUAAAACAAUGUGGAAAAGGGCUUCUGGGCAAGACGGAGGCAUAAGUAGAUACACUUUACUUUCUUGCAUAACCAAAAGAAGGAUAACAACAAAUUUAAAAACAAAAAAA